rnacentral:rRNA from 1 species
GAUGAACGCUGGCGGCGUGCCUAAUACAUGCAAGUCGAGCGAACGGACGAGAAGCUUGCUUCUCUGAUGUUAGCGGCGGAUGGGUGAGUAACACGUGGCUAACCUACCUAUAAGACUUGGAUAACUUCGAGAAACCGGAGCUAAUACCGGAUAAUAUUUUGAACCGCAUGGUUCAAAAGUGAAAGACGGUCUUGCUGUCACUUAUAGAUGGAUCCGCGCUGCAUUAGCUAGUUGGUAAGGUAACGGCUUACCAAGGCAACGAUGCAUAGCCGACCUGAGCGGGGGAUCGGCCACACUGGAACUGAGACACGGUCCAGACUCCUACGGGAGGCAGCAGUAGGGAAGCUUCCGCAAUGGGCGAAAGCCUGACGGAGCAACGCCGCGUGAGUGAUGAAGGUCUUCGGAUCGUAAAACUCUGUUAUUAGGGAAGAACAUAUGUGUAAGUAACUAUGCACAUCUUGACGGUACCUAAUCAGAAAGCCACGGCUAACUACGUG